UUAUCGGAGAGUUUGAUCCUGGCUCAGGACGAACGCUGGCGGCGUGCCUAAUACAUGCAAGUCGAGCGGACAGAUGGGAGCUUGC
rnacentral:rRNA from 4 species